GCGACUUCCGCACCCGGUACCGGCCCCGCCCCUUGGCGCGCGGAAAUGACGUUUCGGGGCUCAUCUGUUCGGUUUCUGGGGUUGGCCGCGGUGUACGGUUGGUUGACCGAGCUUCUUCAGGUGCUGGUUCGUGUUGCAGCGGCCUCUUGUCUCCCUGGCUCCAGCCGCCCGCUUGGAAAGUCACGCCCCAUAUUCCUAAGCACCGGGCGAACGUCAUCUCGUAUACCCUUUAGCUCCAUUUAAAGCCUUGAAAAGGCCGAGCAGUCUUUCCGAAGUCUUACAUCCCGUACGAGGUAGACCCGAUUCUGAGCCCACGCUCUCAACCCAAAUAAACCUUUUCCGGUGCCCUGAGACCUUUUUCUUCUUUUUGAAAUCCACGAAGUUAUGGACACACUCUCAUCUCCUGAGAAACAGAAGCCUCAUUCUUAGGCCAGAGCUUGGCCUGCCGUCGGCUUGAAUCUCUAGGUCUUUGUCCGGGAUCCUGGUUGAGAACAAGGUUGCGCUGGUGCCAUCUGGGACGCCCCAACUGCGGAGCUCGAGGGGAAGGCUCACUUCACUCUUGAGAGGGCUUUUCCACCCGUGCACCCUCUCGCUGCUCUUUGCCUUCCUCAGAUAGGCUUUCUGAAACUUUGUCAUUCUCUUGGAAGACCAAGAAAAUGACCGCGGUCUGAAGGGCCAGGGAGAUGAGAAUUUCCUAAAGUUCUUUUUUAGCUCUCAGAGGGUGAAUCCAUUCCCUUCUCAUACCCCGAGGCUGUAUUAUUUAUUAUGAAUUCAGUUCAGUCCUGGCUCCGGAGACGUGUCCAGUGUCAAUUGGAUUCAUCCCUCAACAUCAUUCUCUGCUUCAUGAGUCAGUCAUCACCAAGAAAUUCGUUGUUAAUACACAUAAAGGUUCAGAACAACCCCGUGUUCAAGUGUUCACUGUGCUGGCUGUAUGGUAAAGGCACAGAUGGCUGACAUCUCUUAAGCCUGGAAAUGAAGACUUACAGGAAGAGGUGCUGCCUGAGGAAUUAGGCAAGAUAAGGAGUUGGAAGAACACGGACGAGUAAGGAAGAGUGUAGAAAGUGUGAACAGAAUCUCAGGGUCUGAGCCACUGGGUGGACUGUCGUGACCACAGUGAGAUUUUCAGCAGUGUGUGGUCUUUCAUCCAGCUGAUUUGCGUAUAGACAGGGAUGCUAGAUGUCUACCGUCUAGAUGUCCACCUCUGUCAUACAGAUAUUUGGUGUGUCCAGCCUCCUGUUGCAUCUUUGAAAGACCUCAGCAUUUAAUAAUUAGGAGUUUCCAUCUAGAAAUCUGGAUUGCCUGUUUUCUAAAACACUCCUUGCUGCCAUGUCCUCUUUUUCGCCUGGCACUUCCCACCCACUCCAUGCCAUACCUCAUCUGGAAUACCCUUAGCUCCUCUGAAUCCAUCCAGUCCUUCAAGACCAAAUACCUAGUUCUCUUUCAUGAAACCUUCCCUGGUCGCUAUCCUGUAGUGACUUCUUGAGACUCUUCUAACCCUGGCUGUACUUGGGAGCUUUUAAAAAUACAAUGCCCGAACACCACCCCAAGAAAUGAGUUUGCAAUGGAGCCUGGGCAUCCAUUAUUCAUAACAGAGCUGCUUUCCUCUUGAGAAGGGAAGAUACUGUGUAAUAAUGUAGAAGAGAGAUCUUGUUUUGGAAAAUCAGAACUUUAGUUAUUGAUUAGUUGUUGCUAUUUCUGAACCAUAUACCUUGGUAGAUCAUUUAACCCAGCGCUGUCAAAAACAUGCAUACAUGUCACCUGGGAUCUUGUAAGCAGCAAAUUCUGAAUCAGCAUGCCUGAUGGAGCCCAAGCAUCAGCAUUUCUAAUAAGCUUCCAGAUGAUGCUGGUACUGCUUGUCUUCAGACCGGAUCAGGAUACUGGAGAAAACAGUUGGAGCACACACCUGCUAACGUCAGGUCCUACGUUUAUAGCAGCUCUCAAUUCCAGACCUUAGUGCAGACCCCAGAACGGGAAAGUGUUCCCUGGAUAGUUUGGCCCUGGCAUUCAGCCAAGAAAAACAUCUAUGAUUCAAGAAUCAUGACACAGCCAGGACCUGCCACCCUGCAGCUCAGAGGCUUUCUUUUCUUGCAGACAAGGGUGAAGAAGUUAGAGGUCAGUAUACUCUCAGUCCUCAGGGUCUCCAGCCUUCAGCUCUGUAUUGUCAGCUCGUCAGAGAUGUGGGACAGGGCACUGCCAGGCACACUCCCUGUGGGAGCUGGCAGGAAAACCAGGCUGUGCUCAACAACAAGAGAAACAAAGAAAGCAUGAGAGCUGAACUGAGAGAACCCUGCCAUGAGUCAGCCUGGGGCUCUGAGGGGGCAUAAGGCCAGGCUGAUACACAGACACCGCCUACCCUCUGAGUCCCUGAAAUGGAUUUUUUUUGGUCCUAUUGGCCAAUAGGAAGUUGCAUACCAAGAACAAAAAUUCCUGGGAUCACCCACCAAAUCAAGUCAAGCCUGGGCUUUUGGUAUACUGUCUUCCCAGCCACUGAGAGAGAUUUCUGUAAAGAAAGCAUUGUUUUGUUGUUUUGCUUAUUUAUUUAGAGACAUGGUCUCUGGUGGGCAGCUGCUAUGGGUUGAAUUGUAUUCCUCAAAAAACAUAUGUUGAAAUCCUAUCUCUAGUAUCUCAGAUUGUGAGCUUACUUGGAAAUAGAAUCUUUGCAGAUUUAGCUAAGUUAAGAUGGGGUCACUGGUGCCCUUAUAAAAAAGGCAAAUUUGAACAUACAUGUAGAGGGCAAUGGUGUGUAGACACAGGGAGAACACGGUGUUAUUACAGAGGAUCGCGUGAAGCAGCUACUGCCCCAGAAAGACUAAGGCUUCCAGAAGCCGGGAGAGAGGACUGGAACAGUUCCUUCCCUAGCACCCUCAGAGGGAGCACAGCUGUGCCAACACCUUGGGUUUUGGACUCCUGGCCUCCAGAACUGUGAGACAACAAAUUUCCAUUGUUUUAGGCCACCCAGUUUGUUGUUUGAUAUUCUGUUAUGGCAGCUCUAGAAAAUGAAUACAGCAGCAAUGGACAUAGGUUCACUGUAGUUUGUUGUAAAAUUAUAUUGAGAAGACAAUUUUCAGGGUCUCUGAGGGUUUCAUAAAGGUUUUCUAUUUCCCAAGCAAGUCCUCAGGAAAUAGCCAGGGAGCCAGACACAUGUGUGUACAAAUCUCAGCUUCACCAUUUAUUAUCUACUUGACUUUGGGCAAGAACCUAAGUCUCUCUAGAGCAUUCUUCAUCCUUCAGCGAAGGCUAUGAAACUCUUCCUAAGGCCGUCUGAAGAGUGAAUGAGGUCGUGUUUUCUAAAUUGUUUAUUGUGUGGCCUCACACAUGGUGGCCUGUCAAGAUGUUAGAUUUCUUUCUUAACAAACAUGAAGGAAGACCCUGCCCUGUAGCAGGCAAGCUGGGUGUUAGCUGACAGUCUCCAACCUAACGUCUAUUCAGCAUAAUAAAUAUUAAUAAGUGCAGUAGACACUGCCAGGGCUCUGGCCAGCCCGUUGCAGAUCCCUUUAACUGUUUUGUCUGUACUCCCUUGAGUGUGCACCCCACGACUCACACCAGAGACUCUUCUUGGAGGUCUUUUCUCGGGCUACUGGAGCCACUUUUUCCACACUCAGGUUGCUAGAAGUGCCUGUGAGUUUAUAUCUUCCAUCUGGGGCAGUCCACGGCCAAGGUCUGAAGGAUGCAGGAGUGUGACAGCCCAGUUCCUUUGCCUGGAGUCCGGGAAACUCUGAGGCAUAACUCACACUCCUGAGUUCCCCUGUAGGAUCACACUGGAGCCACAGGACUUUGCCUGAAAGCAUACAUUUGCUUUGCCCAUCCCUACUUCCACAUCAGCCUUCCUGUGAGCAUGUCCUUAAUGAGUUGCUUACAUUCAACUCCUCAAUUAAGAGUCUGCUUCUGGGGCACCUGACCCAAGGCAAUAAGCUACUGAACAUCUGCUGAGAUGUCACAUGACGUUGAAGUUCUGAUAAUUAAAGCUAAAAAAAAACCUGACCAGAUUGUGCAUUCCAAUCAUUCACUAUUUUAACAGCCAUAAUAAUCAUACUAGUAACCUCUCAUUCAUGUGUCCAUCACGUGCAUUAUGUUCAAUUCUAAUCCUCAUAACCAAUGUAUACAUAGGUAGUUUUAUCCUUGUAACAGUUUUUUUCAAUGGCCACAAAUUUUUUGGUUCUCCUCCCAUGAAGAGGUAAAGUGUAGGUCCCCUUCCCUUGAAUCCCUUUACUUUUACAGAAAUCUGCUCAAUUUUGAUAAUGUGUCCCUUAGUUCCCAAGAUGUGGCCAUUCUAGGAUAUUCUUUCCCAAGUAAGGACAUUCAGCCGUGUGGGUUGGUUAACCUUAAAUUGCAUCUCUAAUAGACAGUAUAUAGUUGGCUCUUACUUUUAUAACUAGUUUGAUAAUCUCUGCCUUUUGACUAUUUAGUCCAUUUAUAUUUGAUGUGAUUAUUAAUAUAGCUUGAGUUGCUGCUAUUUUGCUAUUUGCUUUUUUUUGUUUCAUUUGAUUUUUGCUCCUCAGUAUCCCCUUUUUUUUGCAUUCUUAUGGUUUCAUAAAAUAUUUGAUUAAAUUUAGAAUUUAGAAUCUCAGAUUUUCUAGGCAAUUGCUCAGGUCAGUGAGCUCCAAACCCGGGAUUGUGAAAACGCUUUAAUUUCUGUAAUAGCAUGUUUUCCCUACUAUCCAGGAUGAUGUUUAUGAAGUCAAUAUCAGGCUGAAUUAUAUUCAAUUGUCAGGUAAAUAAGAUCUUUAGAAGUUAUUAAUUUGGAGUUUACUGAAACAGGAAUUUAUGAUUCUUCACUGUAUAGAGAUGUCUCCAUAUAAUCUAGGUAAAGGAGAAGUUACACAGCAUAAAAUAAAACAUUGGCUAAACCUUAGAGAAGCCAGCCUGCAGGCAAGAAGAAAUUCAGUAAGAAUGGGAAUUAUCACUCAUCUCAUUGGUAUACUAUAUUUUUUGGGCUUAUAAGUGUCCCCUACAAUCAGAUGGCACAUCUGUGAAACAUCUGAUUUGGGGAAAAACGGAUAAAAAUGUUUGCUGAUAUUUCUUUAACCUAUUUGUUUUAUAUAAAAUAAACUAAACUUUGUA